GAGACAUAAUGCAGUCGUACGCUUUGUGGUUCAACUGAUUUGAAGAGCUUGCUCAGAUAUGACGAUGGACAUUGCAAAGAGUGGCGAACGGGUGAGUAACACGUGGGAAACCUACCUCUUAGCAGGGGAUAACAUUUGGAAACAGAUGCUAAUACCGUAUAACAAUAGCAACCGCAUGGUUGCUACUUAAAAGAUGGUUCUGCUAUCACUAAGAGAUGGUCCCGCGGUGCAUUAGUUAGUUGGUGAGGUAAUGGCUCACCAAGACGAUGAUGCAUAGCCGAGUUGAGAGACUGAUCGGCCACAAUGGGACUGAGACACGGCCCAUACUCCUACGGGAGGCAGCAGUAGGGAAUCUUCCACAAUGGGCGAAAGCCUGAUGGAGCAACGCCGCGUGUGUGAUGAAGGGUUUCGGCUCGUAAAACACUGUUGUAAGAGAAGAAUGACAUUGAGAGUAACUGUUCAAUGUGUGACGGUAUCUUACCAGAAAGGAACGGCUAAAUACGUGCCAGCAGCCGCGGUAAUACGUAUGUUCCAAGCGUUAUCCGGAUUUAUUGGGCGUAAAGCGAGCGCAGACGGUUAUUUAAGUCUGAAGUGAAAGCCCUCAGCUCAACUGAGGAAUUGCUUUGGAAACUGGAUGACUUGAGUGCAGUAGAGGAAAGUGGAACUCCAUGUGUAGCGGUGAAAUGCGUAGAUAUAUGGAAGAACACCAGUGGCGAAGGCGGCUUUCUGGACUGUAACUGACGUUGAGGCUCGAAAGUGUGGGUAGCAAACAGGAUUAGAUACCCUGGUAGUCCACACCGUAAACGAUGAGUGCUAGGUGUUUGAGGGUUUCCGCCCUUAAGUGCCGCAGCUAACGCAUUAAGCACUCCGCCUGGGGAGUACGACCGCAAGGUUGAAACUCAAAGGAAUUGACGGGGACCCGCACAAGCGGUGGAGCAUGUGGUUUAAUUCGAAGCAACGCGAAGAACCUUACCAGGUCUUGACAUCCCUUGACAACUCCAGAGAUGGAGCGUUCCCUUCGGGGACAGGUGACAGGUGUGCAUGGUUGUCGUCAGCUCGUGUCGUGAGAUGUUGGGUUACAUCCCGCAACGAGCGCAACCCUUAUUACUAGUUGCCAGCAUUUAGUUGGGCACUCUAGUGAGACUGCCGGUGACACAACUGGAG
rnacentral:rRNA from 1 species